UGUCUUCUGAUGCCAUGUGACCAGGUGUCUGAUGAUACUGUCACUGUGACUUCCCAUGGUGAUGGAUUAUGACCUGGAACUCUGACACAGCUGAUUAAUGUGUGGACAUGUCUGUGUGUGAGCAUGCAUAUAUGUCAUAGAGACAGAAGACAAAACCAGUGAGUUCCUUCAGAGGCCUGAAAGGUGCUUCAUCCAGGACCAAACUGUCGUAAAGUGAAGUCAAUAAAUUUAUACUGAGCAUCAGAAUUGGAAGACAGAAAGAAAAGCACAACCAAUUCUCCCCAAGCAGUUGAACUUUCACAAGGAUAAUAAGUCUGUUGCCUGCUGUUUUUUAUAGUUUGUUUAAAUUACAUGAUCACAAUAGUAACUCAAGAUCAGGGUAGGGGAUGAUCAUCUGAACAGAUGAAUUUUGCUAUUCUUACCUUGCUUCUAAGAAAUUUCCACAGAGUAAAACUCAGAUGAGGUGAUAUGUUUGACUUGGGCACGCACAGCGGUGGAGAGGAGUGAAGAGGAGCUCCACUGAACAAAGAAGAGGGCAGACUGCCAAACACAAUGGAGAGUGUUCAGGCUAAAAAUCCAAAAUGUUUGUUGAUAUUAAUUACUGGAAAGUGUCAUAUCUGUUUUUAAUAUUUCACCAUCUCCAGCAUCAUGGAAGGCAACAAUCAUCCCAUUUGUUGACCAGCUGUCUGGUUUGACUAAAUGAUAACCAGCCAAAGGCUCUACUUCAAUUCUUAUUUGAUAUGGGACUUGGUUGAAACAAACAGUCAGUUUGUUUCAGUCCUUCAACAGCUCACAACCCAAGACAAUACCCCUAAUCAUGAAUUCAAUACAUUGAGAAUAGAAGAGUAAAGUCUGAGGAAAAGCAGAACUGAUUAGUGUUGUAUUUAUGUUCCAUAUUUCUCUAUGUCACAUACAAUUUGUUAAGAAGCAGAUAUUGAUGUCCACAUGGAAAGCUAGAGAGUUCAUGUUGACUAGGAAUUUAGAGAAUAUCAUACAAAAUGUCUAUUCCCCUAUAAUAAGCUAAGAUGUUGGGUACUAUCAUUAUGCCUGUAUUAUAGACACAGAAACAAUAGCAUCUAAUAUGUGCCAGGCAUUAUGCUAACUUCUGGAACACAGUGAAAUUCAUAUAGAAGCUCAAGCCCACAACUUACAUGCUAGUAAUAGAGGUAGAAAAUGAGGUUAACAAAUGAUAUUCCAUGAAAGAAAGUGAAAAAAACAAGGGAGAGAGAUAGGGAGCAUUCUUAUACAAAAGUUGUUUUCGAUUCCAGAUAUCCUACCUAAAAAAAAAAAUCUGUGCUACUUUGAUUUUGGUCUAAAAACUACUACCUGAGAUGAAUCCACAGGAAAGAAUAGUUUCUGAGCUACAUUAUGUACUCUUUCAAAUGUGCAAUAAAGAGUGAAGAAAUGUCAUAGAA